rnacentral:rRNA from 1 species
GGGGUUAGAUUUCGUGGUAGUUCAUGCUGUAAAUGAUGUCGCAUUGGAGCUUGUUCCCUGGAGGAGUGCCCCCCUGAGCUAGAGUGCAAAGUCGACAGUCUUGAGGACAGUUGCCGCAAGGAUAAAACUCAAAUGAAUUGACGGGGGCCCGCACAAGCGGUGGAGCAUGUGGUCCAAUAAUUUGCAACGCGAAGAACCCCACCUACUUUUGACAUCCAGGGAACUUAGCAGAGAUGCUUUGGUCCUUCGGGAACUGUGAGACAGGUGCUGCAUGGCUGUCGUCAGCUUUCGUUGUGAAAUGUUGGGUUAAGUCCCGCAAAGACCGUAACCAUUCUCCUGGCAUGCCAGCGGUCCGGCCGGGAACUCAAAGGAAUAUUCCAGUGAUAAACCUGAGGAAGGUGUGGAGGCCGUCAAGUAAUCACGGCCCUUACGAGUAGGGCUACAGACCAGCUACAAAGGCAUAUACAAAGAGAAGGGACCUCCCGAGAGCAAGCGGACCUCAUAAAGUAUGUCGUAGUCCGGAUUGGAGUCUGCAACUCGACUCCAUGAAGUGGGAAUCGGUGGUAAUAGUGGAUCAGAAUGCCACGGAGAAUCCGUUCCCGGGCAUUGUACCCACCGCCCGUCACCCCAUGGGAGUGGGUCGCAAAAGAAGUAGGUAGCUUAACCUUCGGGAGGGCUGCAACACAGGUAUCCACAAGC